GAUGAACGCUGGCGGCGUGCUUAAGACAUGCAAGUCGAACGGAGUGUGUAGCAAUACUCACUAAGUGGCGAAUGGGUGAGUAACACGUAGGUGACCUGCCCUGAAGUGCGGAAUAACAGUCCGAAAGGAUUGCUAAUACCGCAUGUGGUCCCGGGCGUUAGAGAACCGGGUCUAAAGCAGUAAUGCGCUUCAGGAGGGCCCUGCGGUCCAUCAGCUAGUUGGAGGUAAUGGCCUACCAAGGCAACGACGGAUAGGGGACCUGAGAGGGUCGGCCCCCA
rnacentral:rRNA from 1 species